rnacentral:miRNA from 10 species
AUUAUACAUUGGUGCCAAGUAA